CCACAUUUAUUAGUAUUAUUUAGGUGUAAUAAAAUGUUCUUCAACUAAAAAGUCUGGAAAAAGAAAACCUAUCAACCUCAAGCAGUCACCCCUUCCCUGAUGCCAUUGCCUAGAUUCAUCCCAAAAACCCAACUCAGAGCAGAGAUGCCAUGGCAGGACCACCAAGAACCACCCAACCAUCUCCAUAUUGCCAAUCUCCCUCAGCCAUAAUCCGUUUCUCGGAUCUCCAACAGCCCCACCCCAUUAUCAACCACCCAAUCUGCGGCUCUACCUCACUCUUUCCCUUGUAACCCUCUAAUACCUCUAGAC
rnacentral:lncRNA from 1 species